UGCAAUCCAUUUCUAUGACAACAGAGACGGCUUUGGCUGGGGGAUUGAAGAGUGCAAUGGAGGGUGACGCCAUGAGAACCAAUCAGGCUGCAGAGGACCAGGGGGACAUGGAUGAUAACUCGGAGAAGACCCCCAGCAAAGCCUCCAGAUCCCCCCAGAAGAUCAACAAGCGGCCCAAGGCUGUUCCGAUUAAAGUCACACUACUGGACGGCUCGGUCUAUGAAACUGGGGUUGAGAAAUUUGCCAAGGGCCAGACCCUGCUGGACAUGGUGUGUGGCCAUCUGAACCUGCUGGAGAGGGACUACUUUGGCCUGAAUUUCC